UACGGAGGGUGCAAGCGUUAUCCGGAUUCACUGGGUUUAAAGGGUGCGUAGGCGGCUUACUAAGUCAGUGGUGAAAGCCCGCGGCUCAACCGUGGAAUUGCCAUUGAAACUGAUAAGCUUGAAUCUGGUUGAAGUGGGCGGAAUACAUCAUGUAGCGGUGAAAUGCAUAGAUAUGAUGUAGAACACCAAUUGCGAAGGCAGCUCACUAAGCCAACAUUGACGCUGAGGCACGAAAGCGUGGGGAGCAAACAGG
rnacentral:misc_RNA from 1 species